GAGACGAAGCUUGCCACAUAGACCCUUCGGUUCUACGGGUUGCACGAAAUAUGAACUCAAGGCUUUUUCUGACGGUAAAGGACACGUCAUUACGCUCGGUUACGCCAAAGAUCCUCCAUACUGUUUUGUCCUGUACCCCCCUGAAGUGAAAUCUGAUCCGAUCUUUACCGGGAGGCCUCCAUUUUGUAUCCAGAAAGCUAACAAACAACAGCAGACCAGCUAACACAGCCCCAGACAGAGGGACAGGAGAAAUAAGGGAAGAGCAGCGGAUAAGUAAUGGCUCCGUCGUCUGCUUUGGACUUCUCAGGAGGAUCUUCAUAACCUGGAAUACUUUUAUGAAGAAACCAUUUUGAUUUUUGUGAUCUGUGGACCGUCACGGGCAGAGUCCUACACUAAAAGGAUGAGAAACUGUCGGGUAUGUCACUUCAGGCCUCUUCCUGUUUGAGUUUCCUCCUCAACUGCAGACAGAGCAGACGUCCCUGCAGGAUAAUACUCGGAUGAGCAUUAUCUGCAGACAGCAGCCUUGAAUUUACCCAAACUGCACUCAGGACAGGAAACUAUUGAUGACCUUCAUGUGGGAGGUGGCGGUGGGUUGCAGCAGGUCUUCACUUUCCUAAUCAGCUCUUCUGCUCUCUCCUCCAAAGCAAGGUCAUCCUUCCCUCAGUCACUGUGCCCAUUCAUUUCCUUCCAGCACUUUAAGAUCUGCUUUCCAUCACUGACUCACAACAUUUCCCUCUGCAGACUCAUUUCAAAAGGACACAAGCUGUCUUGUCUGUGCAGUUUGGUGGAGCACAGUUUAAGUUGUGAUAUCUGGUUGUAUAAUUAGCUGUGCUUAACCGGACAGAGCCAUUUCUGGAACUCGAGUGAAGUGUUUGAAGUGUGUGCUGCAGCUUUAAGAGCCAUUUUUAUUUUCAGUAGUUAACAGCAGAAAAUUCAUUCUUGUGAUAUGUUUACAGUGGAGUUCUCAUAUGUAAAUAUAUUUUUGAAUUGUCUUUUCAGAGGGUUGACUGGACAUAAUGAUGUAAAUGCAUACUCUGAUGACUAUAUAAUAAUUUUUAAAAACGUUUUCUGAUGAUGAAUUGUAGUCAGUACGAUAAAACUAAUGUUAUUACCCAGUACAUUCGCUGAAAUUAAUAUAUCUGUCUGUGUUUUGGGCAUUUUUUUUGCAGUCAUUGAUGAGAUGAAUCCAGAGUGAUACCUAAAAAAAAGACUUUUUAAAAAGUUAGCUAUGAAGUUAGACAUUGAAACUGAUCUAGUUCUACAAAGAUAACACUGCAUACAAUAUGAAAUUCUAUUCAUAUUAUAUGUAAAGAUGUAUAUUUAUUGGGUUUUAGACAUUGCUCUCAUCUAUAAAAUGAAAUGUUUAUUUCUCCACAAGUCUGUGCAGAUUUUGUAGUGUGUAGUUGUUAAUGCUCAUAAUUGGAAAAAAAAACUAAAGAUUGGUAUUUUAACUAAAAUAAAAUUAAAAAAGGAAGAAAAAGUUUAGUCCUUGCAGCGCCUGACAUUUUGGAGCGUCCCGGUCUUGCAUCUGUCCAGAACAGAUUUCAACCAACCUUGAGGCUCUGACACAGAAAAUAUGGGACAUGGAAGUAAACAUUUUCCUAAAUGGGUAAACAUUUGGCAGCCAAAGCCGAAUGAGUUCGGAGAUAUGUCG